rnacentral:rRNA from 1 species
UACGUAGGGGGGCAAGCGUUGUCCGGAUUUAUUGGGCGUAAAGAGCGUGUAGGCGGCUAGGUAGGUCCGUUGUGAAAACUCGAGGCUCAACCUCGAGACGUCGAUGGAAACCAUCUAGCUAGAGUCCGGAAGAGGAGAGUGGAAUUCCUGGUGUAGCGGUGAAAUGCGCAGAUAUCAGGAAGAACACCCGUGGCGAAGGCGGCUCUCUGGUACGUGACUGACGCUGAGGAGCGAAAGCAUGGGGAGCGAACAGG